GAUGAACGCUAGCUACAGGCUUAACACAUGCAAGUCGAGGGGUAACAAGAGAAAAGCUUGCUUUUCUUGUUGACGACCGGCGCACGGGUGAGUAACGCGUAUCCAACCUGCCUAUAACUAGGGAAUAACCUUGCGAAAGUAAGACUAAUACCCUAUGAUUUCCUUUGAUGACAUCAGAUUAGGAAUAAAGAUUUAUCGGUUAUAGAUGGGGAUGCGUCUGAUUAGCUUGUUGGCGGGGUAACGGCCCACCAAGGCAACGAUCAGUAGGGGUUCUGAGAGGAAGGUCCCCCACAUUGGAACUGAGACACGGUCCAAACUCCUACGGGAGGCAGCAGUGAGGAAUAUUGGUCAAUGGGCGGAAGCCUGAACCAGCCAAGUAGCGUGCAGGAUGACGGCCCUAUGGGUUGUAAACUGCUUUUAUACAGGAAUAAAGUUAGCCACGUGUGGUUAUUUGUAGGUACUGUAUGAAUAAGGACCGGCUAAUUCCGUGCCAGCAGCCGCGGUAA
rnacentral:rRNA from 1 species